GGGUUCUACCGUUGGUCGGGCUAACCAGUCUGUACUAGCGUGUAAAAUUCCUACCUUCUGGGGAACCAUCAUGUUAUUAAUUUAGCGUGGUGGGAAACCAGAACCUUUACCUUGAAAAAAUUAGAGUGUUCAAAGCAGGCUUACGUCUGAAUACAUUAGCAUGGAAUAAUAAAAUAGGACGGUGGUCCUGUUUUGUUGGUUUCUGAAUCACCGUA
rnacentral:rRNA from 1 species